UUGAAGGGAAGGUAGCAUGGUGA
rnacentral:misc_RNA from 1 species